UACGUAGGUCCCGAGCGUUGUCCGGAUUUAUUGGGCGUAAAGCGAGCGCAGGUAGUUUAUUAAGUCUGGUGUAAAAGGCAGUGGCUCAACCAUUGUAUGCAUUGGAAACUGGUAGACUUGAGUGCAGGAGAGGAGAGUGGAAUUCCAUGUGUAGCGGUGAAAUGCGUAGAUAUAUGGAGGAACACCGGUGGCGAAGGCGGCUCUCUGGCCUGUAACUGACACUGAGGCUCGAAAGCGUGGGGAGCAAACAGG
rnacentral:rRNA from 1 species